AGAUUACUGCUAUCGGUGUUCGCCUAAGCCAUGCGAGUCAUAUGUUCUUCGUGAACAUGGCGUACUGCUCAGUAACACGUGGAUAACCUGCCCUUGGGUCCGGCAUAACCCCGGGAAACUGGGAAUAAUUCCGGAUAACGCACAUAUGCUGGAAUGCUUUAUGCGUCAAAUGGAUUCGUCCGCCCAAGGAUGGGUCUGCGGCCUAUCAGGUAGUAGUGGGUGUAAUGUACCUACUAGCCUACGACGGGUACGGGUUGUGAGAGCAAGAGCCCGGAGAUGGAUUCUGAGACAUGAAUCCAGGCCCUACGGGGCGCAGCAGGCGCGAAAACUUUACAAUGCGGGAAACCGUGAUAAGGGGACACCGAGUGCCAGCAUCAUAUGCUGGCUGUCCGGGUGUGUAAAAUACACCUGUUAGCAAGGGCCGGGCAAGACCGGUGCCAGCCGCCGCGGUAACACCGGCGGCCCGAGUGGUGAUCGUGAUUAUUGGGUCUAAAGGGUCCGUAGCCGGUUUGGUCAGUCCUCCGGGAAAUCUGACGGCUUAACCGUUAGGCUUUCGGGGGAUACUGCCAGACUUGGAACCGGGAGAGGUAAGAGGUACUACAGGGGUAGGAGUGAAAUCUUGUAAUCCCUGUGGGACCACCUGUGGCGAAGGCGUCUUACCAGAACGGGUUCGACGGUGAGGGACGAAAGCUGGGGGCACGAACCGGAUUAGAUACCCGGGUAGUCCCAGCCGUAAACGAUGCUCGCUAGGUGUCAGGCAUGGCGCGACCGUGUCUGGUGCCGCAGGGAAGCCGUGAAGCGAGCCACCUGGGAAGUACGGCCGCAAGGCUGAAACUUAA
rnacentral:rRNA from 1 species